rnacentral:rRNA from 1 species
GUCGUAACAAGGUUUCCGUAGGUGAACCUGCGGAAGGAUCAUUCACACGAAUAAUCCAAAUUGUCACGGCGCAUUAUUUGCUAAACCCUUUGGGGACUUAGGGAUAGCAAACUCGAUGAGUAUGUUCCUUGUCCCCUGCCUUCAGUGGGGGUCGAGCGCACGUACAAAACGAGCAGCAAGAACACCUCUAUCAACAGUUUGCAAAAUACCACCACUCUUGGAGUGGUACUUUACUUCACAACUUUCAGCGACGGAUGCCUCGGCUCGAACAACGAUGAAGGGCGCAGCGAAGUGUGAUAAACAUUGUAAAUUGCAGAAUUCCGCGAACCAACAGGACUUUGAACGCAUACUGCGCUUUCGGGAUAUGCCUGAAAGCAUGCCUGCUUCAGAGCCUUCACCUUAUCAUGCGCCUGGAUCCCUCUUGGGGUUGGAGGCGCGUCUUUGAGCCUCAACACGACUGAGUCUGUUGAUGCACUAAGUUUAUCUACUGGGGAGACCUAGAGGGAAGUAUUUGAGCCUUUAUGGCACUUCACUAUUCUCAUGGGUUUCCUCAGUAAGAAUUACGGUCCUUUGCCUUUGGUAGAGACCACCACGGCAUGAAGUCAGGUCAGGGAACCCGCUGAAUUUAAGCAUAUAAGUAAGCGGCGGAAAAGAAACUAAAUAGGAUUCCCUCAGUAAUGGCGAAUGAACAGGGAAGAGCUCAGUAUGGUAAUCGGGGCCCUAGGCCUUGAAUUGUAGUCUUUCGAGGUUGUACCAACGGAGCCGCAGAUGUAAGCCUCUUGGAAAAGAGCAUCAUCGAGGGUGAGAGUCCCGUCUGCCAUCUGCAGUUCUCCGUGUACGGUGCGCCUUCUACGAGUCACGUUCCUCGGGAUUGGAGCGCAAAGUGGGUGGUAAAUUUCAUCUAAAGCUAAAUAUUGGUUCGAGACCGAUAGGAAACAAGUACCAUGAGGGAAAGGUGAAAAGGAUUUUGAAAAGAGAGUUAAAAGUGCCUGAAAUCGCUGAAAGGGAACCGAAUGGAACCAGUCCUUCUUGGUGUGAUUGUUGCGUGCUAAGGCGAUGGCUCGUUACGUCAGCGCAAGCGUCGUAAUGGGCUCUGAGCUCGAUGUGCGUGGUGUUUCUCACCUUGAGUGUCAACGUCGGUUCGGGAUUGAGGAAAACCGCUUCGAGAUUGGUAGUUCUCCUGCGGGAGUAUGAGCACUCGGGGUUGGGACUCUUUAUCGGACCGUCCGCAGCGUGCAGAGCUCCUGCGACGUGACCUGGCUUGGCAGUUGUUGGGGCCUUCGUGCCUCGGUAGCUGUCGGGUCAGCUUUGCGUCGCUGCCUCUGCUCCAGGACGUUGACGAAAUGGUUUCAUCCGACCCGUCUUGAAACACGGACCAAGGAGUCUAACGUAUGUGCGAGUCCAUGGGUGUAAACCUAGAGGCGCAAUGAAAGUGACUGCUGGGAUAUUUGCACCAGCAACUGACUGAUCAAUUGAGAGAGGUUUGAGCAUGAGCACAUCUGUUAGGACCCGAAAGAUGGUGAACUAUGCGUGA